rnacentral:rRNA from 1 species
CAGUAGCCGCGGUAAUACGAAGGGUGCAAGCGUUACUCGGAAUUACUGGGCGUAAAGCGUGCGUAGGCGGUUUGUUAAGUCUGCUGUGAAAUCCCCGGGCUCAACCUGGGAAUGGCAGUGGAUACUGGCAAGCUAGAGUGUGUCAGAGGAUGGUGGAAUUCCCGGUGUAGCGGUGAAAUGCGUAGAGAUCGGGAGGAACAUCAGUGGCGAAGGCGGCCAUCUGGGACAACACUGACGCUGAGGCACGAAAGCGUGGGGAGCAAACAGGAUUAGAUACCCCCGUAGUCCCUGUCUCUUAUAC